rnacentral:rRNA from 1 species
GACGUAGGGUGCGAGCGUUGUCCGGAUUUACUGGGCGUAAAGCGCGCGUAGGCGGCUCGGAAAGUCGGUCGUGAAAUGCCGGGGCUCAACCCCGGGACUGCGUCCGAUACUCCCGAGCUGGAGGCAGGUAGGGGAGAUCGGAAUUCCUGGUGUAGCGGUGAAAUGCGCAGAUAUCAGGAGGAACACCGGUGGCGAAGGCGGAUCUCUGGGCCUUGCCUGACGCUGAGGCGCGAAAGCUAGGGGAGCGAACAGG